rnacentral:lncRNA from 13 species
CAGGAAAGUGCCUCAGAGGACAAGUGUGCCUUGUGGUGGAGGCCUCCGAGGAUGUGGGCUGUCAUCCUGGUACUCCCUAUCUGCAGAUCACUGUGUGGCCUUGGAACCACAGGGUCCUUGGGCGGGGGGUGGUCUCAGGGAAAGCACCUGCAGCAGUGAUGUCUUGGUAAAUGUUUAACCACCAGCUCUCCGAAAAAGAAAACAUCCUCGAUUUGCGGUGCUCACUGAUUUCUACGGCAUAAAAACUCAUACCAGUUUCAAAUGCCAAUUGAGAAAAGAUGAACAACAGUACACAAGUAUAUGGUAUUUCCACCAUGUAAAUACAACAUGUAAAUUACCUCCUGAAGAUAGUUAACAGUAAAAUGCAAUAAAGGAAAUAGGACGUGAUGAGUUGGGAGUGUUUUUUACCUUUUUAAAAACAUAAAUUAUUUAGUUGCAAUAUCAUAUCAUCUAAUUUUUGAUAAUGACUGUGUUUAACAAUUGGCUUGCAAAAUUCCCCGAAAUUUAGUAAUUGGCUCUAAUGAGUCAGCAUGAGCCUGCUCCAGCACACAACCGCCUCGGAGCCCUUUGGGCUUCGUCCAAGAUCAGAAGGAGCCACGUGCCUGCUGAGGCAACUGAAGGAGGGAACCUCACCCCCAGCUUCCUGGCCCCACAAGGCAUCUCGGCUUGAAUCUCAGUCCAGAAGGAGAGAGAGGAAGGAGCAUAGGAGAGGACUUCAACCAGGAAGAAAUAAGAAGCAUCGAUAUGCACAGGAUUGUGACGCUCCGUCUUCAUCCCCUGCUCAUCUCUUCUUGCCUCCUGGGCCCAAUUUGAAGGCUGACUCCCUCAUAAAGAUCAACUGCUUCCUCUUCCUGCCCAAGUUUCUCCAGCUUCUCUGAGCUCAGAGCUCUUGGUUUGAAGCUCCACCAAAUCUUAUUAGACCUGUUACCUGAGUAACUUUAGGAGCAGACUUUUUCCUACUUGUCCCCUCCUGCCCGCAUUUCUCCAGAUAAACUGAAUAUGACUGCUAUUGAAAUAAUCAAUGUCACCCUCCACUCCCGCAUGACUGCCUCCUCACUCGACAAACAGCAAAGCUCCUUCCUGUUUGCAUCCUCCCUGUAUCCUGUCAGUCACUGUAGAAGUUGGUAAGGAUGGGAUCAACAUUCCCCCUUGAUACCUGGAAAAAUUGAGGUUUAUAGAGAGAGCAGGCCUAGCCAAGGUCACUGGGCCAGGUUUCUUUCCUCCAAAUCCUGUAUUCACUCCACUGACCCAUUCUAGAGACUGGGGUGGCUGGAGCCACCAG